UCAAUCCUUUAACUAUAAACGUUGAAGUACUUGAUUUUCUUUAUUAUUUUCUUUGCUAAUUCUUUUUUCUUGGCAUUUUUAUUUAUACUACCCAACAAACGAAAAGUUUUUUUUUCGAAUUUCUCUCUCGGGUUAGUUUUCAGUUUUGAUUUGUAAUUUGUAAAUUCCAAGUGUUUGUAAAAUUGUGUUCUUGGCUGUGAUGAAAAAAAAGUGCCGGUUGAUAUCAGAAGCAUUUUGAUCUUCUUGAAGUAUAAAAAUAGUCUUUGGAAUAUUUAAAAAAAAAUAUUCAGUGGAAAAGAAAAAUUUACAGUUUUGAAUCCAUAUAUAAAUGAAGAAUGAAGAAAUAAUGUAGAAACGUAUAGAAAAAUUCCAAAUUCAAAACCCGAAAAAAGGGACUUUUCCGCAUUGGAAUUUCGUAAGAGAAAUAAAUAUAUUUAUCCUUUAUUUCUUUAUUUAUGUCCAGUGAACGAACCGGUUAUCAUCAAUGCGAAACCAAUAUAACGUAACCGAAUCCAAAGCCUGUUUCCUCUAACGGUAGUCGCAGAACUUGAAUUGAAUAGAUCUCUAAGCAGAUGAGAUGCUUUUCUGACAUGACAAAUCACUGAGCAAGCCUACAUAAUGUUUAUUUCUUCAAGCAGCAAAAGAGAAUUCUUCCUGUGAGGUGAAAAAUCCGAGACGAAUGCAAUGAUUCAAACAAAGGGCGAUUUUUUCAUCUCCCCCAAACGAUUGAGAGCCACUGUCUAUUUAUUGUAUAUGUGUGUUCGUGAGAGGGACCCAUUUUUGCAGCGAGCUCCCGCAGGUAAGCAAUGGAACGAGAAAUUGGAAUUGUUACAUGCAAGUCAAAAAGAAGGAAGGAAAUGAAGAAAAAAACUCUUUCGAUUAAAAUUGUUAACUUUGAAAUAUUCAAUGUGUAAUUUUUUUUAUCUAAGAAAUUAAAGGUGAUUGCAAUUAUAAUUUUAUAAUGAA